UACGUAGGGGGCAAGCGUUGUCCGGAAUCAUUGGGUGUAAAGGGUGCGUAGGCGGAAGCCUAAGUCGGGGGUGAAAUCUUGCCGCUUAACGGUAAAAUGGCCUUCGAUACUGGGUUUCUUGAGUUCGGAAGAGGUUGGUGGGAUUCGUGGUGUAGCGGUGAAAUGCAUAGAGAUCACGGAGAACACCGGUGGCGAAGGCGGCCAACUGGUCCGAUACUGACGCUGAGACACGAAAGCGUGGGGAGCGAACAGG
rnacentral:misc_RNA from 1 species